CAAAAGCCUGGUCCUGACUUUAAUAUCAAUUAUGGUCCGAAUUACACAUGCAAGUACCUGCACCCCUGUGAGAAUGCCCACAUCCCCAGCCUGGGGAAAAGGAGCUGGCAUCAGGCACAACCUAAAGAAGUUAGCCCAAGACGCCUUGCUUAGCCACACCCCCACGGGAACUCAGCAGUGAUAAACAUUAAGCCAUGAGCGAAAGCUCGACUUAAUCAAGACCAAAUAGAGCCGGUAAAACUCGUGCCAGCCACCGCGGUUAUACGAUAGGCUCAAAUUGAUACUUUCCGGCGUAAAGUGUGAUUAGAAUAUAAAAGGAACUAAAGCCAAACACCUCUUAAGCUGUCAUACGCUUAUAGAGCAUACGAAGUCCCACAACGAAAGUGGCUUUAAAAACUAUUGAACUCACGACCAUCAAGAAACAAACUGGGAUUAGAUACCCCACUAUGCUUAAUUGUAAACAACGAUGGAAAUUUACAAAAACCAUCCGCCAGGGGAUUACAAGCACUAGCUCAAAACCCAAAGGACUUGGCGGUGCCUCACACCCACCUAGAGGAGCCUGUUCUAUAACCGAUACCCCCCGUUAAACCUCACCAUCCCUUGUUAAUCCAGCCUAUAUACCGCCGUCGCCAGCUUACCUUGUGAAAGACCAAUAGUAAGCCAAAUGGGUCACCCCCUAUACGUCAGGCCGAGGUGUAGCAAAUGGGAUGGGAAGAAAUGGGCUACAUUUUCUGACCCAGAAUACUACGAAAGGUGUAAUGAAAAAAACACAAUUGAAGGUGGAUUUAGCAGUAAAAAGAAAAUAGAGCGUUCUUUUGAAGACGGCUCUGAGGCGCGUACAUACCGCCCGUCACUCUCCUCAAAAAUAAAUCAAAACUAAUUAAUAAUAAUUUAACCUAUAAUAAAGAGGAGGCAAGUCGUAACAUGGUAAGUGUACCGGAAGGUGCACUUGGAAAAUU
rnacentral:ncRNA from 1 species